UACGUAGGGUGCAAGCGUUAAUCGGAAUUACUGGGCGUAAAGCGUGCGCAGGCGGUUAUGUAAGACCGAUGUGAAAUGCCCGGGCUUAACCUGGGAACUGCAUUUGUGACUGCAUGGCUAGAGUGUGUCAGAGGGGGGUAGAAUUCCACGUGUAGCAGUGAAAUGCGUAGAUAUGUGGAGGAAUACCGAUGGCGAAGGCAGCCCCCUGGGAUAACACUGACGCUCAUGCACGAAAGCGUGGGGAGCAAACAGG
rnacentral:rRNA from 1 species